rnacentral:rRNA from 1 species
CAAAGUGGCCAAACCUUCUUGUCAGAUCUAAGAUGCUAAGCAGCUCUGGGCCGGUUAGUACUUUGAUGGGAGACUGCUGGGAAUACCAGGUGCCUCAGUGG